rnacentral:rRNA from 1 species
UCGACUGUUUAUCAAAAACAUAGCCAUAAGCAUAUAUUUUUGGUGUUAUCUGCCCAGUGAAAGAUUUUAACGGCCGCAGUACAUUGACUGUGCAAAGGUAGCAUAAUAAUUUGACUUUUAAAUGGAGCCUAGAAUGAAAGAAAGAACGUAAAUAAAUUGUCUCACUAGCAAUAUAUUAAAAUUAAUGAAGGAGUGAAAAUACUCUUAUAUUGAAAAAUAGACGAGAAGACCCUUAGAAUUUUAAAAAUAUAGAAGUAUACCUUGUAAGAUUUUUUGUUGGGGCAACAAUAUUUCAUAUAAAAUAAAUAUUAUUAAGGGUAGAUAAAUCGAUUUAAUAAUUUAAGUAAAAUUACCUAAGGGAUAACAGCAUAAUUUUAUUMAUAAAUUUUUGUGAC